AAUCAACGCUGGCGGCGUGCCUCAGACAUGCAAGUCGAACGAUUAAAGCUUUCUUCGGAGAGUGCAUAAAGUGGCGCACGGGUGAGUAACACGUAAGUAAUCUACCUUCGAGUGGGGAAUAACGUCCGGAAACGGACGCUAAUACCGCAUAACGCAGCGGCAUCGCAAGAUGACAGUUGUUAAAGAUUUAUCGCUUGAAGAGGAGCUUGCGGCAGAUUAGCUGUUGGUAAGGUAACGGCUUACCAAGGCUACGAUCUGUAUCCGGUCUAAGAGGACGGUCGGACACACUGACACUGAAUAACGGGUCAGACUCCUACGGGAGGCAGCAGUCGGGAAUUUUGGGCAAUGGGGGAAACCCUGACCCAGCAACGCCGCGUGAAGGAUGAAGUAUUUCGGUAUGUAAACUUCGAAAGAAUAGGAAGAAUUAAUGACGGUACUAUUUAUAAGGUCCGGCUAACUACGUGCCAGCCGCCGCCGU
rnacentral:rRNA from 1 species